UUUUGCUCAGGAACUACCUUUGUUUAACAGAGUAGGGAUUUCAUCUGAGCUGGUGUUUCAAGAAAUCACGUCUUUGCUUAAAGUUAUUCUCCCCCACAGCAGAGAGGUACAAUUUGCAGAGGAAAAGAAAAGGCUACCAAACUGGUUUGUCAAGGAUCUGAGAACAAGGCUGUGACAGGUAAAUCAGCAGACAGGAUUCUAUUGCUGUGGGUUGGCAGAGAAAACAAUACAUGGAGACACGUAUUGAAGAUGGAAAGCUUCUGAACUAGAGAAAGAGGAUAAAAGCACAGGAGUAAGCAUUGUUGUGUCUCUGGAAUAAAAGUUUUAUGACUCUUAAAAUACAAAAGUAGGAAGAACUGAAAGAACCCCAGGUUAAGCACAACUCCAAAUCAAAUGAUAAGUGAUAAGAGAACAAUAUGUUGCGAUUCCUUGUAGA